CCUACGGGUGGCUGCAGUGGGGAAUAUUGCACAAUGGGCGCAAGCCUGAUGCAGCCAUGCCGCGUGUGUGAAGAAGGCCUUCGGGUUGUAAAGCACUUUCAGCGGGGAGGAAGGCGGUGAGGUUAAUAACCUUAUCGAUUGACGUUACCCGCAGAAGAAGCACCGGCUAACUCCGUGCCAGCAGCCGCGGUAAUACGGAGGGUGCAAGCGUUAAACGGAAUUACUGGGCGUAAAGCGCACGCAGGCGGUCUGUCAAGUCGGAUGUGAAAUCCCCGGGCUCAACCUGGGAACUGCAUUCGAAACUGGCAGGCUAGAGUCUUGUAGAGGGGGGUAGAAUUCCAGGUGUAGCGGUGAAAUGCGUAGAGAUCUGGAGGAAUACCGGUGGCGAAGGCGGCCCCCUGGACAAAGACUGACGCUCAGGUGCGAAAGCGUGGGGAGCAAACAGGAUUAGAUACCCUUGUAGUC
rnacentral:rRNA from 1 species